rnacentral:rRNA from 1 species
AAUGAACGUUGGCGGCGUGGAUUAGGCAUGCAAGUCGUGCGGAAAGGCCCUAGCUUGCUAGGGCACUCGAGCGGCGAAAGGGAGAGUAACGCGUGGGUACCUGCCUUUGGAUCCGGGAUAGCCUCGAGAAAUCGGGGGUAAUACCGGAUAACGUCUUCGGACCAAAGGUGUGAUUCCGUCCAGAGAUGGGCCCGCGUCCUAUUAGCUUGUUGGUGGGGUAAUGGCCUACCAAGGCUGAGAUGGGUACCGGGUGUGAGAGCAUGGCCCGGCUCACUGGGACUGAGACACUGCCCAGACACCUACGGGUGGCUGCAGUCGAGAAUCUUCGGCAAUGGGCGCAAGCCUGACCGAGCGACGCCGCGUGCGGGAUGAAGGCCUUCGGGUUGUAAACCGCUGUCAGUGGGGAGGAAAUGCUGUGAGGUUCUCCUUGCAGUUUGACCGAUCCGCAGAGGAAGGACGGGCUAAGUUCGUGCCAGCCGCCGCCGUAACAC